rnacentral:rRNA from 1 species
AUUGAACGCUGGCGGCAUGCCUUACACAUGCAAGUCGAACGGCAGCAUGAUCUAGUUUGCUAGAUUGAUGGCGAGUGGCGAACGGGUGAGUCAUACAUCGGAACGUGCCCUCUAGUGGGGGAUAACUAGUCGAAAGAUUAGCUAAUACCGCAUACGUCCUGAGGCUGAAAGUGGGGGACCGCAAGGCCUCAUGCUAUAGGAGCGGCCGGUGUGUGAUUAGCUAGUUGGUGAGGUAAAGUCUCACCAAGGGGACGAUCAGUAGCUGAUCUGAGAGAACGAUCAGCGACACUGGAAGUGAGACACGGCCCAGACUCCUGCGAGAGGCAGCAGUGGGGAAUUUUAGACAAUGGGCGAAAGCCUGAUCCAGCAAUGCCGCGUGUGUGAAGAAGGCCUUCGGGUUGUAAAGCACUUUUGUCCGGAAAGAAAUGGCUCUGGUUAAUACGUGGCGUCAAUGACGGUACCGGAAGAAUAAGGACCGGCUAACUACGUG